CGAACCAUUAGUUAUUAUUGUUUAUCUCUUACUAUGCUUAGAGACAGGUGCAAAAAAAAUCCUCUUUUGCAACCCAGAACUCAUUGCUAAGUAUGAAUUUUGAUACAUGUAAGAAGGAAUAUU
ensembl:snoRNA